rnacentral:rRNA from 1 species
AGCGAACGCUGGCGGCAGGCCUAACACAUACAAGUCGAGCGGGCACCGCAAGGUGUCAGCGGCAGACGGGAGAGUAACACGUGGGAACGUGCCCUUCGGUUCGGAAUAACUCGGGGAAACCCGAGCUAAUACCGAAUACGCCCUUACGGGGAAAGAUUUAUCGCCGAUGGAGCGGCCCGCGUCUGAUUAGCUAGUUGGUGAGGUAACGGCUCACCAAGGCUACGAUCAGUAGCUGGUCUGAGAGGAUGAUCAGCCUCACUGGGACUGAGACACGGCCCAGACUCCUACGGGAGGCAGCAGUGGGGAAUAUUGGACAAUGGGCGCAAGCCUGAUCCAGCCAUGCCGCGUGGAUGAUGAAGGCCUUAGGGUUGUAAAGUCCUUUUAACGGGGAAGAUAAUGACGGUACCCGUAGAAUAAGCCCCGGCUAACUUCGUGCCAGCCGCCGCAGUAAGAC